rnacentral:rRNA from 1 species
CCUACGGUGGCUGCAGUGGGGAAUAUUUGACAAUGGGCGAAAGCCUGAUCCAGCCAUGCCGCGUGUGUGAAGAAGGCCUUCGGGUUGUAAAGCACUUUCAGUGGGGAAGAAAGCCUUGGGGCUAAUACCCUCGAGGAAGGACAUCACCCACAGAAGAAGCACCGGCUAACUCCGUGCCAGCAGCCGCGGUAAUACGGAGGGUGCGAGCGUUAAUCGGAAUUACUGGGCGUAAAGCGCGCGUAGGCGGUCUGAUAAGCCGGUUGUGAAAGCCCCGGGCUCAACCUGGGAACGGCAUCCGGAACUGUCAGGGUAGCGUGCAGGAGAGGAAAGUAGAAUUCCCGGUGUAGCGGUGAAAUGCGUAGAGAUCGGGAGGAAUACCAGAGGCGAAGGCGGCCUUCUGGACUGACACUGACGCUGAGGUGCGAAAGCGUGGGUAGCAAACAGGAUUAGAUACCCCAGUAGUC